rnacentral:rRNA from 1 species
AGUUUGAUCCUGGCUCAGGACGAACGCUGGCGGCGUGCCUAAUACAUGCAAGUCGAGCGGACAGAUGGGAGCUUGCUCCCUGAUGUUAGCGGCGGACGGGUGAGUAACACGUGGGUAACCUGCCUGUAAGACUGGGAUAACUCCGGGAAACCGGGGCUAAUACCGGAUGCUUGUUUGAACCGCAUGGUUCAAACAUAAAAGGUGGCUUCGGCUACCACUUACAGAUGGACCCGCGGCGCAUUAGCUAGUUGGUGAGGUAACGGCUCACCAAGGCAACGAUGCGUAGCCGACCUGAGAGGGUGAUCGGCCACACUGGGACUGAGACACGGCCCAGACUCCUACGGGAGGCAGCAGUAGGGAAUCUUCCGCAAUGGACGAAAGUCUGACGGAGCAACGCCGCGUGAGUGAUGAAGGUUUUCGGAUCGUAAAGCUCUGUUGUUAGGGAAGAACAAGUACCGUUCGAAUAGGGCGGUACCUUGACGGUACCUAACCAGAAAGCCACGGCUAACUACGUGCCAGCAGCCGCGGUAAUACGUAGGUGCAAGCGUUGUCCGGAAUUAUUGGGCGUAAAGGGCUCGCAGGCGGUUCCUUAAGUCUGAUGUGAAAGCCCCCGGCUCAACCGGGGAGGGUCAUUGGAAACUGGGGAACUUGAGUGCAGAAGAGGAGAGUGGAAUCCACGUGUAGCGGUAAAUGCGUAGAGAUGUGGAGGAACACCAGUGCGAAGGCGA